AACGCUAGCUACAGGCUUAACACAUGCAAGUCGAGGGGCAGCACGGGAGUAGCAAUACAACUGGUGGCGACCGGCGCACGGGUGAGUAACGCGUAUGCAACCUACCUAUCAGAGGGGAAUAACCCGGCGAAAGUCGGACUAAUACCGCAUAAAACAGGGGCACCGCAUGGUGAUAUUUGUUAAAGAAAUUCGCUGAUAGAUGGGCAUGCGUUCCAUUAGGUAGUUGGUGAGGUAACGGCUCACCAAGCCGACGAUGGAUAGGGGAACUGAGAGGUUGGUCCCCCACACUGGUACUGAGACACGGACCAGACUCCUACGGGAGGCAGCAGUGAGGAAUAUUGGUCAAUGGGCGAGAGCCUGAACCAGCCAAGUCGCGUGAAGGAAGAAGGAUCUAUGGUUCGUAAACUUCUUUUGCAGGGGAAUAAUGUGCGGGACGUGUCCUGUUUUGUAUGUACCCUGAGAAUAAGGAUCGGCUAACUCCGUGCCAGCAGCCGCGGUAAUACGGAGGAUCCGAGCGUUAUCCGGAUUUAUUGGGUUUAAAGGGAGCGUAGGCCGUCUGUUAAGCGUGUUGUGAAAUGUAGAUGCUCAACAUCUGAAUUGCAGCGCGAACUGGCAGACUUGAGUGUGCGCAACGUAGGCGGAAUUCGUGGUGUAGCGGUGAAAUGCUUAGAUAUCACGAAGAACUCCGAUUG
rnacentral:rRNA from 1 species